AAAAUAAUGGAACAGAUCCUUAAUUUGUAAGUACCUAGAAGGUAAUAAGGUGAUAAGGAACAGUCAACAUGGGUUUGUCAAGAACAAAUCAUGUAAAACCAACAUAAUAUCCUUCUUUGAUGGGGUAACAAGACUUGCGGAUGGGGGGAAGCAGUAGAUGAGCUAUAGCUCAACUUUAGUAAGGCUUUUGAUACUGUCUCACAUGACCUUCUC